rnacentral:lncRNA from 1 species
GGGAGAGUCUCUGCGUCCUCCAGCCCCCGCUUCCCUUCAUGUCGGAGGUCCUAAGCCCGCAGCGAAGUCCGCAAAGAGCUUUCCCCGACGCCUACGAGACCGGAAGUGCCUGGGCCCAGGUGGAGGAAGGACCCGCGUGGCCGCCUCCGCGCUCUCCCUGGGGUCCGUGCCCCUUCCGGCGUUUCUCCCGCGUCCUUCACCAUGGCAACUCGGGCGUCGGGAGCGUGGGCUGCGAGCCGAGUGGGUGGGGGAGCCGCCGGGCUCUAUCCGCCAGCCCACGAGAAGUGACGCAGGAGCACCAUUGAAGGAGAAUUAGACAAACUGGAGUCUACUGAGAUGAGGCUGUUGGGAAUGGCCCUGGUACCACAUCCUGAGCAGGGAUGGCCGAUGGAAUGGGGAGAAGACUCAGGUGGGGCUUGAGUGUGUCCUCUGAUGACUGAAGAGCCUUGGGAGCAAGCAUCCUUCCUGCUACUGUGUGUUUGCUGGUUCCAAUGAUACAUAAUUUGUGCUUUUCGUAAUUAAAGUAUUAUCCUGUA